rnacentral:rRNA from 1 species
AUUGAACGCUGGCGGCACGCCUAACACAUGCAAGUCGAACGAGUGGCGGACGGGUGAGUAAUGUCUGGGAAACUUCCUGAUGGAGGGGGAUAACUACUGGAAACGGUAGCUAAUACCGCAUACCAUCGGAUGUGCCCAGAUGGGAUUAGCUAGUAGGUGGGGUAAAGGCUCACCUAGGCGACGAUCCCUAGCUGGUCUGAGAGGAUGACCAGCCACACUGGAACUGAGACACGGCCCAGACGCCUACGGGAGGCAGCAGUGGGGAAUAUUGCACAAUGGGGGCAAGCCGGAUGCAGCCAUGCCGCGUGGAUGAAGAAGGCCUUCGGGUUGUAAAGUACUUUAAGCGGGGAGGCGUUACCCGCAGAAGAAGCACCGGCUAACUCCGUGCCAGCAGCCGCGGGAAUUC